AACGAACGCUGGCGGCAUGCCUAACACAUGCAAGUCGAACGAGACCUUCGGGUCUAGUGGCGCACGGGUGCGUAACGCGUGGGAACCUGCCCUUAGGUUCGGAAUAACUCCCCGAAAGGGGUGCUAAUACCGGAUAAUGUCUUCGGACCAAAGAUUUAUCGCCUUUGGAUGGGCCCGCGUUGGAUUAGCUAGUUGGUAGGGUAAAAGCCUACCAAGGCGACGAUCCAUAGCUGGUCUGAGAGGAUGAUCAGCCACACUGGGACUGAGACACGGCCCAGACUCCUACGGGAGGCAGCAGUGGGGAAUAUUGGACAAUGGGCGAAAGACUGAUCCAGCAAUGCCGCGUGAGUGAUGAAGGCAUUAGGGUAGUAAAGCUCUUUUAAACGGGAUGAUAAUGACAGUACCGGGAGAAUAAGCUCCGGCUAACUCCGUG
rnacentral:rRNA from 1 species